GGGCGCAAGCCUGAUGCAGCCAUGCCGCGUGUAUGAAGAAGGCCUUCGGGUUGUAAAGUACUUUCAGUAGGGAGGAAGGUUCAUGCGUUAAUAGCGUAUGGAUUUGACGUUACCUACAGAAGAAGCACCGGCUAACUCCGUGCCAGCAGCCGCGGUAAUACGGAGGGUGCGAGCGUUAAUCGGAAUUACUGGGCGUAAAGCGCAUGCAGGUGGUUAGUUAAGUCAGAUGUGAAAGCCCGGGGCUCAACCUCGGAAUUGCAUUUGAAACUGGCUGACUAGAGUACUGUAGAGGGGGGUAGAAUUUCAGGUGUAGCGGUGAAAUGCGUAGAGAUCUGAAGGAAUACCGGUGGCGAAGGCGGCCCCCUGGACAGAUACUGACACUCAGAUGCGAAAGCGUGGGGAGCAAACAGGAUUAGAUACCCUGGUAGUCCACGCCGUAAACGAUGUCUACUUGGAGGUUGUGGCCUUGAGCCGUGGCUUUCGGAGCUAACGCGUUAAGUAGACCGCCUGG
rnacentral:rRNA from 2 species